rnacentral:rRNA from 1 species
GAUGAACGCUGGCGGCGUGCCUAACACAUGCAAGUCGAACGGAGAUUCCGGACGGAAGUUUUCGGAUGGAAGACUGUAAUUCUUAGUGGCGGACGGGUGAGUAACGCGUGGGCAACCUGCCCUAUACAGGGGGAUAGCAGCUGGAAACGGCUGGUAAGACCGCAUAAGUCGGUUAAAUCGCAUGAUUUGAUCGGGAAAUGAGCAAUCAGGUAUAGGAUGGGCCCGCGUCCGAUUAGCCAGUUGGCAGGGUAAAAGCCUACCAAAGCGACGAUCGGUAGCCGGACUGAGAGGUCGGACGGCCACAUUGGGACUGAGACACGGCCCAAACUCCUACGGGAGGCAGCAGUGGGGGAUAUUGCACAAUGGAGGAAACUCUGAUGCAGCGACGCCGCGUGAGUGAAGAAGUAUUGCGGUAUGUAAAGCUCUAUCAGCAGGGAAGAUGAUGACGGUACCUGACUAAGAAGCCCCGGCUAACUACGUG